rnacentral:rRNA from 1 species
UCAUUGGGUCUUGUUUAGGCUCAGAGGCGCAAUGAAGUGAAGGAUGCCCUAGUUGGUGUCUGCGUUGGGAUCCUGGGGCCUCGAGCUCCGGGCGCACCAACGGCCCGUCCCGUCUGCGACGUCAGUGGGACGGAGCGAGAGCGUACACGUUGGGACCCGAAAGAUGGUGAACUAUGCCUGGGCAGGACGAGGCCAGAGGAAACUCUGGUGGAGGUCCGCAGCGAUUCUGACGUGCAAAUCGAUCGUCAGACCUUGGUAUAGGGGCGAAAGACUAAUCGAACCGUCUAGUAGCUGGUUCCCUCCGAAGUUUCCCUCAGGAUAGCUGGUGCUCGAGUGGAAUCAGUCUCAUCCGGUAAAGCGAAUGAUUAGAGGCCUUGGGGCCGAAACGACCUCAACCUAUUCUCAAACUUUCAAUGGGUGAGAAGUCCGGUUUACAUGACUGAAGCCCGGACGAUUCUCAGGAUGUGAGUGCCAAGUGGGCCACUUUU